UCUAAAAUAUAUGAAAGUUUAAUUUUUAUCAUUACAUUAUGGAAAAUAAUGAACUUUUUCACAAUAUGCUAAUUUUUUGAGAAGGACCUGUAUAUAAAGAGCUUUCAGGGACGAUGGAUUGACGUCUCUUGCACCAACCACCAGUUUCCUUUUGUGUGUCAUGAAGAUAAACUGAUUGUGAUCAGAGAGAAUCUGACGUGGUCUGAAGCUCUGAGAUACUGCAGACAGAAUCAUGUGGAUCUGGUCUCGGUUCAUUCAGAAGAGAUUCAGCGUCGUGUGAUGAACGUGGUUAAACUGGCGUCUACUGCGGAGGUGUGGUUGGGUUUACGUUACGCUCACAUUUUGGGCGUCUGGUUCUGGGUGAGUGGAGAGAUGGUGUGCUAUCAGAACUGGGCUCCAGGGAACGGUACAUCAGAGGAGGACUGUGAACACACAGUGAGAUCUGGAGCAGUUCAGUCUGGAGGAGAUCAGCGCUGGAUCAGCCGUCCUGAAACUGACAAACUCAACUUCAUCUGCAGCAGAUUUUAAGAGUGAAAGGAUACACAGACCUUUCAUUUAAGAAAACAAGUGCUUGUGUGUUCACUUCCUUUAACUUCAUUUUCAUUCAUCGUUUGUUAAACAAUAAUUUUUCAUAUAAUAACUUUAGUCUCAGCAGGCAGUCGCACCAGUGGUGAAUCUUUUGCUCAGAUGCUUUUUGUUUGUUUUUUUUUUGUUCAAUUAUAUUCUUCAGUAAGCUGUUAUUGAGCUGUAAAUGGUCUGAUUUGUUCUGUUGAGUUUUUCUCCAGGUAGAUGAAUUUCUGUUGAUGCAUCAGUGUGAUUCCUGUGGGUUCAUUUGCUCCAUUAAGAGCCUCGAUGGUAAGAAUUGCUAUUAACAUCUUUUUUUUUUGACAAACUCUGUCUUUUUGUUUUUUUCUAACUUCAAAAUUAUCAGACGUUAAUCUGUUAAUUCAAUUUUGUGAGGGGUCAAAGGGCAUCAUAUACUCAUCAUUGGAUAUACAUUUAUAAUGUUUCCUUCUUUUAUAUUAUGAGAUAAUUUAUGAAUUUAAGCUUUAAAUUUAUGAUUUAAGGAUCUCAAUUUGCUGGUGUGGCUACUUCUCUUUUUCUUAUAUUACAUUUAAUGUUUUAAUCAUGUCUUUAGAUUAGAAAUGACUGGUUGAAUGUGAGUUAACGAACACAUGCCUUAGCUCAGUGAAAUAUUGUUUAUUCUCAAAGGUGUGAAAAUUGGGUAUAAAAUAUUUACAAUCCUUUUGUGCUAAACAUAAAAGAACAUGUCAACAACAGCAGCUCAAAUAAACUACAACCAGCAAUCUCA